rnacentral:rRNA from 1 species
AUUGAACGCUGGCGGCAUGCCUAACACAUGCAAGUCGAACGGCAGCAUGAAAUGGGGUAACCCAUUUUGAUGGCGAGUGGCGGACGGGUGAGUAAUAUGUAGGAAUCUACCUAGAGGUGCGGGAUAACUUAGGGAAACUUAAGCUAAUACCACAUAAGCCCUACGGGGGAAAGCAGGGGACCGCAAGGCCUUGCGCCUUACGAUGAGCCUACAUCGGAUUAGCUUGUUGGUGGGGUAAAGGCCUAACAAGGCGACGAUCCGUAGCUGGUCUGAGAGGAUGAUCAGCCACACUGGGACUGAGACACGGCCCAGACUCCCACGGGAGGCAGCAGUGGGGAAUAUUGGACAAUGGGCGCAAGCCUGAUCCAGCAAUGCCGCGUGUGUGAAGAAGGCCUUAGGGUUGUAAAGCACUUUCAGUGGGGAGGAAGUUGAGUUUGCUAAUACCAGAUUCAAUUGAUGUUACCCACAGAAGAAGCACCGGCUAACUCUGUGCCAGCAGCCGCAGUAA